GGAGGAGCACUGGCCUGGGCCUACGGCUCCCUGCGGCUGAGGAGGCGGCCGUUGACAGUGCGGUACCGCCGCAGGGCCCAGGGCUAGGGAAGAUUGAGGGGAAGGUGGGGACUGGGGGGCUGGUGAAGGGGAUUCGGGUCUAGACCCUGCCUGGCAGAGGUGUGGCUCGAGGCCUACUUCUGCCAGAGCCUCUGGUUGCAGCACAGCCUGCUGCCACCCAUCCUUAAGGGUGCCCGCCCCAUGAUAAGGGUAACGAAUUGUGGGACAGGCCACUGCACCGGGGAAGUUCUCCGUCCUUGUGACUAACUCAGGUCACCUCGCAGCAGGCCCAUCUCCAGGCCAAGGCCCCAGUUUUUGCAGCCCCCAGACAAAGCCCCAUCUCCCAGCAGGAUUGUGGUUUCUAACUGCACACUGGAGUAAUGUUUUCUUCAUCCGUUUCCUUGCUGAAGGGAAAAGAGCAGCUAUAAAAUCCUACAUGACAGUUUGGGGGUUGCUGGCUGUUAAACAGGAGGUGCCACUCUGACUGCUGGGCAGGGAGAAGAGAGAACUGUUCCCAGGCUAGUAAGAGAAGGGUAGUUUCAAUUCUGAAGUUAGCAAAGGAAGAGGAGCUGUUCUCCCUCUCCUCUCCCCCACAGGCACUUCUACCUUAACUGUAAUCCUGGAAGAGUUUUAUGGAGAGAGGAUCUGUAUUUUAGGCCAGCUAUUCAUGACCCAGUCUCUUAGAUAUAUCUACUGUCAUCAGUAUUGCCAACUCAUGAGGCAGGUGCCCAAAAGAGUUGCUUGGCGCAAACUCAUGAGAUUUUAAAAUCUAAUACACGUUAGGUUCUUUGUAUAUGCCUUCUGGUUUGUAAGUCCUUAGGGUUCACAUUUUCAAGCUUUUCUCUAACUGAAAGCUAUAAAAUUACUUUUAAAAUUAAAGCUGCAAGUCUCACUUAGUCACAUGACUCCAGAAGUUGCUGCUUUAAUAAAAACAUCAGCUAUCCCAAGACUAACUAAAAUCACGAGUUUGCAAAACUGUAACAUACUCUUUAGUGAGUCAAAUAAAUUACUAGUGCAACAGCAUCUCCAAACUUAUUUCAAUGUAAUUCCACAUCAAGAAUUAAUUUGUUCAGUAUGUUUACAGACCAUGUCUUCUUACAUAGGUCAGUAAUUUUACUCACAAAUAUAUGUUACUCUGGAUCCUGGGUAGUUUUCAAUAUUUCACUUGUUAAAUGGAAAGAGAGGAUUUUUUUUUAAUCUAUAGUUUUUAAACUAUAAGAAAGAAGAAAGCAACCUAAAAGAAGCUAUGCACUUAUUAGGUAGAAGAGAGAGAAGGGCUAGCUAUAGUAGGCAGAGGCAAAAUAAUUGUUUUAGCAUUGCAGCUGAUUGUUUCUUCCAAAUUUCAAGGGUCAGUUACCAUACAGGUAUGCUGGGAGAAGCUAUAAAAGGGUAAACUCAAUGAUUCCUAGGCAGUUAGGCCCUUUGGAAGGUUUUUAGUAUACAACAGUGAGUGCUGGAUUAGGCCCAAUGAAAGCAAGUUACACGUACAAAAAAUAUAUUGUAGUCUUCUCUUUAGAAGGGCAUUUUUGAGUACGAGACAGCUUGAGUUGUCUAGAGCGACAAACUGGCAUCUUCGUUACAUAGUCUCAUGGCCAUUUGUUUUCCUGUGAAUUUUUAAAUAGCUUUUGUAAACUUGUUGUGUAAUCUAAAGUUAUAUUUGAGUGCUUUAAAUAUUCAUAAUGUAUGUCUUACUGCUUCAUGCUAAAAACUGAUUUGUAGUGACAAUCUGUUCAAAAACUCUUUCCAGCUCUAUAUAGAUUAGCCUAUGCUACUUUAGGAAAAAAUGGAUUGGAAAGAAGAGAAAGCUCAACAUAUGCCCUUGAGCGAAGGCAAUGAGUGAAUUAAUAAGAGGCAGGUCAAGACUCACAGUUCUUCCUUUGAAGGAAAGUACAGAGUUAUGGAUGGGAGAAAUGGCAGUUUUUUGGCCCACUGAAAUUGUCAUUUAAUCAACAUUUUUAAAAAGGUGCUGUGAGGUUUUUAAACUAUUACAAAUUUCCAGUCUGUACUCCUCCUAAAGCUACAUUUACAUGUAUAGUUUUGGAGCAUUAAGACAAUUAAAUCAGAUCAGCCCAGGAUACAUUUGUUGUCCGAUUUGGGUUUAAAAUACAACUAUCUUCACAGUCUGCUAAUAAGGGCUUUCAGUGCAGUGUACUCCUUUCUUCCUGAUACUUGGCUAGACACAGACAGAUCAGUUAUGUGGUUAAUUGCCAGAUAUUUGCAGUGUAAGUGAAUGUAGAAAAAUCUUGCAUGCAUGAAUAAAUUCUUGUUUUCUACCUGCUCCACAAAACUCCAUUUACAAAUGUAGUAAGCAAAGUGUCAAGAUUUUUAAUCCUAGCAGACCAUUUCAAGUUAAAUUUUUUCAGAACCACUGUUGUCUGAGGUCAUCCAAUAAAGAAGGAUGAGGUCACAGAUCUUUUUUUGGAAUUGGCAGUAGGGAAGCCUGUGCUGCGUGACACUCUUGCUUCUGGUCCUCAGAGUGAUUAACAUGUAAUACUCCAUUGUGUUAGAGGUGGCAGCAUUUUGCACAAGGCCAAAAUAGUCAAAAGUGGUAAUUAGUUCUGGGUGCCUCAACUUUUGGUGCUCCAUUUGAGACAUGUUAGGUUCUGAUAUAAGUGCUAAGCACCAACAACUUCAAAAGGAGACACGGAUACUCAUUACUCUUGAAAAUCAGGCCCAAGGUGGUACAAAAAUCAAGGGGCACUCUUGAAAAUUGUAAUGUUAGUGUCUUUUCUGUUCAGUGUUGUGUUCCUUGUUUUGGUUAGCAUUCUCCUCAGGCUGAUCUUGUUGCCAGGCUUCCUGCAGGGUAGAAAAAUAGUAGUUGCAGAAGAAAAUCCUCAUUCAGGAACUGGUUAGAAAAAUCAUGUCAGGAAAUUUAUGUUCAGAUUCUACAAAGAAAAUAAUAGUGCGGUGUGGAGCAAUGUUAACUAUGCAGGUCACCUGUGUAAACAAAUGCAUCCCAAAUGCAACUAAAUUCAGUGAAAAUGAUUAUUUGUACUUCUGAUGGGCCAACUGGAUGAUAUGCAAAUGUCUGCUUCUUGCCUAUCUAUCAGAGGUGAAUAAUAAUUUUGCUGGAUCUUUCUCUCUCUCUCUCUCAUUAGUUGAUAAGGAAGAACUCACAAUUGUUAAAUACCUUCAACCAUAUAAAUUAUUUCCAGCUUCAGCCUAUGUUUUUUUGUUCAGCACAUGUGCAACAAUACAGAUAUGGCCUUCAUGUUUUGGUGGCCAUCAGUCUUUAUUGUUCGUCAAGGUUUCUGUUUAUUCACUAUGGCAAAACUAAGAUCAGUAUUUACCCACUGCAUCAAUAUGUCUCAAUGUUAAUUUUAGUAGACCUCAGAGUCUGCAUAUUGCUUUUGAUGGUCUGUUCAUCUUUCACAGAAAUUCUAAUCACAUUCCAAUCUCUCAGCUUUCCAACUGCAAAAUUUCACAUCCACUCCACAACUAAAACUUGAGUGGUUCUAAAGAUUGAAACCCAGUCACUCAGCAUCAUCCUAACACCCAAAAUCUUUCUGCUAUCUUUGUAAUUAAAUCUUAGCUUUUGAAACUAUAUUUUAAAUUAAGAUUACAUCUCUUGUGUGGAGUGAUUUUACUCUGUAUAUCUGUUGGAGCUCUGAGGAUGCUUGCUUGUAUUUUUCCAGGCCUCGUCUUGCAGCACUGUCCUUUUGGCAGAGAUGAAAUGGAUGGGACUCCCUUGAGAACUGAAUUUUCCUCCUGAGUUAACUGGAGGGGUUGCUGUUGAAUGUUAAAUGGACCUGAACAGAAAUCCAGAUCCAAAGAACCCUGACAUUUGGGAGAGUCCAGAGCCAGACUUCAUGACUAGCUCCAGUUUAACUAAUGGAAUUAACCAAAAUUGCAGACUGACACAUCCCCAUACUUCAAGCAUGUUCUCAUGUGUUUCAACUCUGCAGCCUGACCCUGUGUCAACUUGUAGGGAUGAAUUUCAUCUGAUUAGAAUAGCAGAAGAGAAGGAAAUUAUUACUCUGUCGUCAUCGCUGGAGACAGUUUGGUACAAUUAUCUUGGGGAAAGCAGAUUCAGCCAUUACAGCAACAUGACUGGAGACAGAUGAAAAUUCAGCAUGGAGAGAGAAAAAUAAAAAGCUCUAACUACAGGUGAGAGAACAACAUUUGUGUCCCAUUCUGAGGAUUUUGAGAGGUAAGUAUUAUUUCAGGGUUGAGGUUUUUUAAUACCUUUUAGUAUAACUCCUCCGUUUUUAAAUAUUUUUUCUCUUCUGAUCUCUUCUUCCACUAUAUCAGUCUCUGUCAGCAACAAUAGCUUCCUGCAGAGAGACACCUGGUAAGAGGAGUCCAGUAACAUGAGCCCUUUCAAAAGGUACUGGACUGAUACCAUAUUUUGUUUGAAGGCUGUAGCUUUAUUGUUUGGAACAGUAAUUGACUGAAGAGUAUGUUAGUUUCUGUAUUGUUUUUAAAGAGAUCAUUUUUUCUGUCUUAUGACUCCUAUAAUGACUGACAUCAGAAAUUUUUUUUUAAUAGGUCUUCUAUUCAGGGAGGCAAAUAGAGGUUACCGAUUGACUCUUUACAUUAAAGGAUGUAUUUUAACAUAUGGGAUUACAAAAUGUAUACUAACUUCUUAAGAUAGUAUCUACACUACAGUUAAACAUUUGUCCCAUAACCUGGCUACAACACAUGCGUUGUGUAGUAGAGAUGCAAUACAUCCAAAGCUUUAGCCUGAUUAUAGAACAUCCCCACGACAAAUUGCGAUGGUUAACAUAUUUCUGUAAUAUCAAGUAUAUAUGGUAUGUGAUAAUUCCUGUUCAGAGGAACUUAACUUCUAAAUUGAUUCAGAACGGUGGGAGAGAGGGAGAAGUAGGGGAGAAGAGGGAAGGAAGGAGGGAUAUGUAGAAUAAGGCUGAGGUUGUUUGCAUAGUACAGUUGCAGUACCCUACUUCCUAAGGUUUGGUUUGUUCAGAAUAACUUUUAAAAUUGUUUUAAGGGAUAUCAUUAGAGAAUCAAUUGAAAGAUAGGUGGGGGGAAAUGGAUAGCGAGGUUGCAUGGCAUACAGGAUCAAGGUGGUGGUUCUACAUAUAGGUAGCAACAUGAGAGAAGACAUGGAGUUCUCCUUAAAUCUCAGAAUAUUGAUUUUGUUUUUUUGCUUUUGGAAGUGCUUAAAUGUUAAAGUCUUUGUGCGUCCUUUGGCAACCUCUGAUAAAUACAGGACACUGCCUGUAUUUAGGCAUUGUAACCUUGGCAUCUAACUAUUCUAUUACAUUAGAAUCAUCUUCAUUUUGGCAGUCCUCCAACAUCCCAAAAUGACUAGCUGCUAAAAUAUCAUCAUGGAGGAUUAACCAAGUACCCCACACACAGCUGGAUUGACACUGAAAGCAGAGCUGCUCAUUUGCACACUUCUCCAUGCACAAGUUACCCAUGCCCCGGGCCGGCAGUUUCUGUCUUAGGUAAGUGGAACCCUAUUGGGUCACACUACCUUCACAGCAUUGUCAAACAUUAGUCUCUUAGUCCUUCACUUCUGUGAAGGGCUGGAGACCCUAUAUGCUGCUUUUCAAGAUACUUUUGGCCAACUGAAGGGGAAAUGCUGCUCAAUUCCAAAUAAUUCAGACCCUCCUAUGCUGAGAUGGCUGGUCACUACAAUACAGACCUUUUGAAUAGGUGUGGAUUUAAAGAGGAAAAUGUAGUAAAGAAGCUUCCAGGGCUCCAAGACUAACUUGCAACUCCCUAAAUUCCCUCUGAUAAAAAUUUACAGUCACAUAAUCUUGUUACAAGGAAAGAGAAAAUGUUAUGUAACAGUUGCAUACAUCUGCACUAGUUUAAUACAUACAAGUUCAGUUGAAUGCUACCACAACAUUAAUUUGGUGUGCUCCCUAAAAAGUUAGAUAGGUAUGGGUUUGUUUUUAUAUUCCUGUGCUUAAAUGAGUUGGGGAAACUGUUUUUUAAUAUAAAACCCACAGGAGCAGAAGGGGCUCAUCAGUCAGGGGCUGAAGCAGUAUUGCCUUUUGAUGACAGGAUGUCCUGAAUCCUGCAGUAGAGAGUUAACAGUAGCAAGCCAUCAACUGGAUGUCACAUCCUUAGCUAAUUGUCAAUGGGGAAUCAUCAUCCAAUGGAGGUGUUGCUUGUGGGGGCCCCCCUCAUUAAGCUGUUUUUGGUCCAAUCUUGUUUAAUACCUCUAUUAACGACCUGGAAGAAAACUUACCAUGCCUGAUAAAACAGACGACAAACAGCAGAGGAGGAAAUGACUGAGUUCUACAGAGCAAUCUCUUGAAGAACAUGCACUCUAAUACAAUUACAUGUAAGAUUUAUAUAUAGUAGAAACCAGAAUGUAGGUCACCCAAGGUGGAGGACAGUAUUUUGGAAAGAAGUGACUCUACAGGGCUUUGUGUUACGGGGAUAACCGGUUGAACAUGAGCUGACAGUAUGAUGCAACUGGCUAAGGGCGCAAAGGCAAUAAACUUAUUUGUAUAAGUAGGGGAAUACUGACUAGAAGUAGGGAGAUGUUACCACUACUGCAUGUAUCAGCGCUGAGACAGUUACUGGAAGACUCGUGUACACUUCUCAUGUCUGCUUUUGAAAGAAGUUUACUCCUGGGGCGAUUCUGUGUGACUGUAUUCCCACAGAAAACAGGCCCCAGCCUUACAGUGACAGAGCAGGGCUUGCAAUCUAAUUAUCUUAACAAAAAGAAGGUUAAAGAGGUGACUUGAUCAUGGUCUAAAGCUAUGUCUACGCUACCACUUACGUCAGCAAAACUUACCUUAUUGAAUAUUUCACCCCUCUGAGCAACAGAAGUUACACUGACAUACCUGACAUAAGUAAGUGCUAGUGUGCACAGAGCUAUGUUGGUGGGAGAGCUGCUCUUGCUGACAGAACUUAUGCUGCUCCCAGGGUUGGUUUUUUAUGCUGCUAACUCUUUAAUCUACAUAGAGUGUCUUCACCACAUGUGGUACAGGUGCGCUGCUGUAACACUAGGUGUAGACAUGGCCUAGGUAUCUACAUGGGGGGAAAGACUGACAGUAAGAUUUCUUUAAUCUAGCAGACAAAUGUCUAAGAUUCAGGGAUUGGAUCUGCAACUAGGUAAGUUCAUACUAGAAAUUGGACAUUUUUUAUAGGAGAGUAAUUAAACAUUGGAACAACUUAGAAAGAUAGGGUGGAUUCUCCAUCACAUGAUGUCUUUCUAAAAGAUAUGCUCUGGCUAAUCCAGAAGUUAUGGACUUAAUACAGGAAUCAUUGGGUGAUGGAUUUGUCAUGUAGGAGGUCAGACAAUUGUUAUGGUCUCUUCUGGCCUUAAUCUUAUAUUCUGGAGAAUGAGAAGGCAGUAGCAAGAAGAUAGUGAUGUAUCGCACUGCUAUAUACUAGCCCAAUCUGACCCUUUGACUAUAGUAGCCUAUAUUACUAUGAAGUCUUUAUAUAGUGUGGGAAAGUUUACAGAGUGUUCUAGAAAUGCACUAAGAUAGCUCUUUCCAUGAAGAUGCUAUAUUCUGUCAUACAAGAAACCUGACCCGGGAGGGGAGGGUAAGGAGAGAUUAUUGGAGAGGAGAAUGGAUGGCUAUUUGGUGGAAAUAGGCUAGUGGCUCUCAACCUUUCUAGACUGCUGUACCCCUUUCAAAAGUCUGAUUUAUCUUGCAUACCCCCAAGUUAUACCUCACUUAAAAAACAACUUGCUUACACAAUCAGACAUAAAAAUACCCAAGUAUCAUUGCAGACAGUGAAAAAUUGCUCAUUUUCACCAUAUAACUAUAAAAUCAAUUGGGGUGUAAAUAUUGUACUAUUUCAGUGUACAGUAUAUAGAGCAGUAUAAACAAUCAUUGUACGGAAUUUUAGUUUGUUCUGCCUUCACUACUGCUUUUUAUGUAGCCUGUUGUAAAACUAGGCAAAUAUCUAGAUGAGUUGAUGUAAUUCCCGAAAGACCUCUGUGUACCCGCAGAGGUGUACUACUGUCAGGGGUCCUUUGCUGUGUAUUCUCAUCUAGAUCUCUUCAUUUUCAACUUUUGACAUCACUUCUGUCCCUGUUUUUUCCAUUUGUUGUCCUCGAUAUACAGGUGCAGCCUGGGUCCAAUGGCUGCCCCCCUUUGAGGAGGCAGACCUAGACAUGCUUGACCCAUUACCCCCAAAUAGUACCAGGGUUUAGGUCAACUUAACUUCAUCACAUAAGGUGUGACAUUUUUCACAGCCCUGAGCAAUGUAGUUAAACCAAUCUAAUUUUGUAGAGUAGA